GGUGCACCUUACCAUUCACCUCCUGGCACCUGCAUAGGCUCCAGUCUCACCACAACUCUGGAUUGGAUAAGUGAUUAGGAAAAAAGGAGAUUUUCAAAGCAUAAACACUCAGACUCUUGGACUCUGACCACGAGUGACGUCCUAGUGGAUUCAUGAACUGUCAGUGCAGAUGCUUGUCAGACACCUCAUGUGUGCUAGUUUUUGGUGUGAUAAAGAAACUACAGACAAGACUUCAACACAGGAAAGAAGCAGCAUUUGUUUCGCAAUGACUGUGCUGCACAAGUGGUUUCAGCAUCCGCACUUUAAUCAGUUAGUGCUAUAAUAUGGAAUUAACAAAAAACCAUGACAACCAGAGACUGUGUAUAACUUUAUGCUUAUAUGCUUUGGAUGGAUUAGAGGACAGUGUCUUAUUGCCUAUAGAACAUGUUAACAUACAUGUUAUUGCCGUUUCUUUUUUUAAACCUGAUUUCGUCCUUUUCAGCAUUUCCAACAACACUGCAGGUCCUCGUGUUAGGAAUCAGUCUGCUCCACUGAGUGAGAGACACGGUUGUUUAAAAGUUUUUGACUCUGUGUUUAUUUUCUCAUAAUUAAAUCUGGACUUGUUCUCUUUAACACGCCGAAGAGAUGGAACAUAUUUAAUAAAAACACACAUUUUAUCACCAUACAUGAUGGUUUACAUGCAAAAAUGGUUUCAUAUAUGACUUUAGGAGAAUCACUUUGUGCCUCUGGACCAUGUGGAGCCCACCAAAAUGACAUUUUUUCUCUUCUCCCAGCUUCUUGAGUUUUCAUGUGUAUCAUAUUUGCUACAUGUGGCUUUUUUGUUUUAUUUUUUUCAGUUUAUUGCUUAAAAAUGUGUUGUACAAUUUCUAUGUUUCGUUUUAUGAGAAAAAAAAGUAACUGAUGAAGUAGAAGUCUCAAGAACUCAUGUAUCAAAUAUGAUGCACUUGGCUUUACUGGGUUAAAAAGUCUUGUUAAAGAGAGGGAUGAUGCAAAACAUUGAGAAACCUGUCCCUGUUACAGCUCUGGCAUUUAAAUGUUUUUCUUCUUUUAUUGUUCCUCUUAUUUCAGCUGCUCACUCACCACAGGAAAUCAUCUGCCUCUGCAUCACCAUGUGAAUGCCAUCCUCCUCUGUCACGCCAACCCUCUGUAUGACCUUUUAUCCUGUAUAUCCUCUAUCCGUCCUCUCCACAUGUCCAAACCAUCUCAGUCUUGUCUCUCAAACUUUCUCUCCAAACCGCUCAUCCUGAGCUGUCCCUCUGAUGCACUCUGGCAAUUACAAAAUACAUGUUAUUAAACUAGCUGGGAUAGGCUCUAGCGCCUCCCGUGACCCUGAAAAGGAUAAGCGGAAGUGAAUGGAUGGAUGUUAUUAAACUGCAAAAAAAGUCAUUUUUACUUGAUACUUAAAAACCACAGCGGGGUUAGACUGGUCUGUUUACAUGGUCUAUACACAGUUUGAUAUGAGCCAUAAACUCCACAUACAAACAUGACUGAGGGACGAAAUGCAGGCGGAGGAAAUCAAACAUGGGGGGAAACCAAUGAGGUCAGUAGGUGUCUCUAUAAAGGAGCGGGAAGCAAAAGACAAUGAGACCAUUAGUGCCGUGACUUACCUGCAGUUAAUGUUUGAAUGGUGUUUGCACAGUGUUUCUGAAUGGUGUGGGACUACCUGAGAGGAAAAAACUGUGAAAAAUAAAAAUAUGUGUCAGGGCACAGCAUGUGCUUGGCUAAUGUCAAAUGUAUUCAACAGAUAUAUUAAUGACAAAACUUAAAACCUGUAAAAACUGGAGACAAAAACACUCUCAGAAUCACAUUUUUGGUUGUUAUUGCUACAGUAGGUCAGUAGGUGUCUCUAGAGUCACCUUUCAAUGCAACAUCCAAUGCAUCCAGACGCACAAAGAAGCAGGCACACAAAUUGUUUUAUCACCAUAUUGGUUUACAUGCAAAGAAGCAGACACACUCACCAAGGGUUUUAUCACCAUACCUGACGGUUUCCAUGCAAAGAUUGUUUCAUACAUGACUUCAGAAGCAUCAUUUUGUGCAUCUGGACUGUGCAGAACCCACCAAAAUGACGUCCAACACAUGCAAACGCACAAAGACACAGACACACAGUGUUUUAUCACCAUAUCGGUUUACAUGCAAAGACGCAGACACACUCACCAAGGGUUUUAUCACCAUACCUGACGGUUUCCAUGCAAAGACGUGAUGUCCAACACAUGCAGACACACAAAGACGCAUACACACUCAUGAAGUGAGUCAAGUUUGUUUCCCUAGCACAUUUGAAGUACAGCUGUUGACCAAUAUGCUGUACAUCUAAAAUAAUUAAAUAACAUCCAACACAGGAUGAAAUUACAGAGUUUAAGAAAGGAAACAUAAAAUUAGGAAACCUGAAUAAAAACAGGACAGAUAAUUGACAUCUACACAAUAAUGAAUUGAGAUGCUGUCUUUCAUUAAAAACUAAG